GAGGGUAUAGCUCAUUGGCAGAGUGCGUGCUUAGCGUGCACAAGGUCCUGGGUUUAAUCCCCAGUACCGCCA
rnacentral:tRNA from 1 species